CGGACGGGUGAGUAACACGUGGAUAACCUACCUAUAAGACUGGGAUAACUUCGGGAAACCGGGGCUAAUACCGGAUAAUAUUUUGAACCGCAUGGUUCAAAAGUGAAAGACGGUCUUGCUGUCACUUAUAGAUGGAUCCGCGCUGCAUUAGCUAGUUGGUAAGGUAACGGCUUACCAAGGCAACGAUGCAUAGCCGACCUGAGAGGGUGAUCGGCCACACUGGAACUGAGACACGGUCCAG
rnacentral:rRNA from 1 species